GAUGAAGAACGUAGCGAAAUGCGAUAAGUAGUGUGAAUUGCAGAAUUCCGUGAAUCAUCGAAUCUUUGAACGCACAUUGCGCCCCCUGGCAUUCCUAGGGGCAUGCCUGUUCGAGCGUCAUUAACAACCAUCAAGCGGGACCUGUCUGCCUCGCUUGGCCAUGGGGGAUGGCCGCCCUCGGGGCGCCCACCCCCGAAAUACAACGGCGGACAGCCACCACGGGGCACCCGGGCGUAGUAAGUUGCUCGCUCGCCCGCGCCCACGGAAUGGACUGUCCGGCCGGUCGAACCCCCAACAUCCAAUGGUUGACCUCGGAUCAGGUAGGGAUACCCGCUGAACUUAAGCAUAUCAAUAAGCGGAGGA
rnacentral:misc_RNA from 1 species